rnacentral:misc_RNA from 1 species
AGAUCGUCCGUAUGUUACCGGUUUCGGAGUUGCUCACGAACGACUUUGGGCGCCACGUAUAUCCUCGAGAAUCGAUUAAGCGUUAAAUCCACCGGAGCCACACGACGAUUCUAUAAAUAACUAACGGCGAUGAUCAACGAUAUUUGUUUGCUGAUAAUGCGUUGGUUAAAUAGAUAAAAGUUACAGGAAUAAAAUACCAUUAAAAUACUCGUUCGCGAUUCCACAUUCAUUCGAUUCCUCGAUUACAACGGGGUCGUGCAGGCGCAAAAGGUUGACGUUACACUCAACCAAGCAUUUAAACUGGCGCACUGGAGGCUGAGUCUCGUCUUCAUCUCACGCGUAUCCAAGUAAAAGAACGAUUCGCGUGGAGAAGUGCGGUUUGGAAAAAUAGCGAAGGGGAGGAGGAGAAACGCUUGGCUCGAAAGGGAGUCCGACAAGAUACUACGUCGGUGCAUAUCUCGCGUGCACUUUCGUCAUCGACGUGCCCCCACACGCGAGAGCCACGGUUUCGCUGGAAGCAAAAGCGAAGAAAACGCCUGGUAUCCGGAGAAUGCCGGCUGGGUAGGAGCGGCCGUUGCCUGCCAGGACACGCGAGGAUCCUCUUAGCCGAGGAGCCAUUCCUCCAGCGAACAAGGACGGACCAUCUGCCUCGCAGAAAUGAAUUCGACGCCUCGUUCUUCGAGUGGCUUACUUCGAAGAUCAACAAUCUUCGCGCGCUGAAGAUCGCCGACCGACCAUCUUCGAUGAAGAUCGAGCACACUGGAGAAUGUUUGCUUCGCGAAUAUGCGUUCGUUGGACUUUGAGCUUGUGGAAUUUUCCUAAGUUAUCGUCGAUAGUUGAGUUUACAUCGCGAAGUCCGACCAAGUCGAGUAUCCCGUACUUCUAGAAGGAACGUAAAGUAGACAUUUAAAAGAUUCCUGCUGACUCUCUCCGUAGGAAACGUCUACUUUCGCCGAACGUCGAGCAGGAACUUUGCUCAAACGCCACGUUCUCGACCCGUCAUUACGUAUCGUGUCUAACGUCGAUUAUAUCGCGAGGGGGAGGGGAGCGGCCCGCUAAAUUGGCCCGGUAUCAUCUCGCGAAAGAGUCGCGUUUCGCUUUGCGCGAGAUCGUCUCUAUUUAAUAACCGUCGAAGCCCGCAAGCGCGGAUCGCCAACGUUAUUACUAUCAUUACCGAUGAAUGACUCAAUUGGCGAAAAGUAUGCGUUUACUAUGUUGGGAGAGAAAGAGAGAGAGAGAGAGAGAGAGAGUUUUAUCCUUUGAAGAUUUCGCGCUUCGAUCGUACGUGAUUGCCGAUUAACAAGCGGAAUCUUUUGAACGGCGUAUAUUUUCCUUUGAUACGUUAAUAUACGGUUUAGGAGGAAGAUUGAUUUUUGUAGCUGCAAGAUAAUUCCUUGUAAUUUCAGUAAAAGCUUGUACUCGAAACUGCGAAGAAGCGCUCAAUCGUACUACGCGUUUCUUAUUAAACCGUUAAACUACAAAGUUUACAACAUGUAAGUGGAGAUAGCAAAGUUCGUAUCGUUGUAUUCGUUUCGCAAUUCUUAGAUACCGAAUUCAUUUGUACACUAUGUAACAGUUAUCGGAUAUGAUAUCGACGACGAUACCGAUUUGUUAGCGCAACCUCGAGCAAUCGGAAAACGUAACGGUCGAUUUCUCCGCGGAACGGGCAAACUGCCGUGAUAGAGACCAGGCUAUAGGACACCCUUUCGGCGUUCACCAAGGAGAAAGCACUUUGAAUCCGCGGAGAGAAACUCGCGCGUGCACGUUUCAAGUUCAGACGUUCUCGAAGAAAAUCCGCCAAU